rnacentral:rRNA from 1 species
AGUGAACGCUGGCGGUAGGCCUAACACAUGCAAGUCGAACGGCAGCACAGUAAGAGCUUGCCCUUACGGGUGGCGAGUGGCGGACGGGUGAGGAAUACAUCGGAAUCUACUUUUUCGUGGGGGAUAACGUAGGGAAACUUACGCUAAUACCGCAUACGACCUACGGGUGAAAGCAGGGGAUCUUCGGACCUUGCGCGAUUGAAUGAGCCGAUGUCGGAUUAGCUAGUUGGCGGGGUAAAGGCCCACCAAGGCGACGAUCCGUAGCUGGUCUGAGAGGAUGAUCAGCCACACUGGAACUGAGACACGGUCCAGACUCCUACGGGAGGCAGCAGUGGGGAAUAUUGGACAAUGGGCGCAAGCCUGAUCCAGCCAUACCGCGUGGGUGAAGAAGGCCUUCGGGUUGUAAAGCCCUUUUGUUGGGAAAGAAAAGCAGCAGGUUAAUACCCCGCUGUUCUGACGGUACCCAAAGAAUAAGCGCCGGCUAACUUCGUG